UACGUAUGGGGCAAGCGUUAUCCGGAUUUACUGGGUGUAAAGGGUGCGUAGAUGGAUAAACAAGUUGGUUGUGAAAUCACUCGGCUUAACUGAGGAAUUGCAACCAAAACUGUAGAUCUUGAGUACUGGAGGGGAAAGCGGAAUUCCUAGUGUAGCGGUGAAAUGCGUAGAUAUUAGGAGGAACACCAGUGGCGAAGGCGGUCUGCUGGACAGCAACUGACGCUGAGGCGCGAAAGCGUGGGGAGCAAACAGG
rnacentral:rRNA from 1 species